CGCACCCCUACAUCUGGUGCCCAACGUGGAGGCUUUUCUCUAGGGUGAAGGUACGCUUGAGCGUGGUCAUUGAGGACAAGUCGACGAGAGAUCCCGAGUACGUCUACAGUCAGCCUUACGUCUGCAGGUGUACCCAACAGCUCCGAAGAGACAGCGACCAUCGAGAACGGGCCAUGAUGACGAUGGCGGUUUUGUCGAAAAGGGGGAAAUGUGGGGAAAAGCAAGAGAGAUCAGAUUGUCACUGUGUCUGUGUAGAAAGAAAUAGACAUGGGAGACUCCAUUUUGUUAUGUACUAAGAAAAAUUCUUCUGCCUUGAGAUUCUGUGACCUUACCCCCAACCCUGUGCUCUCUGAAACAUGUGCUGUGUCAAACUCAGGGUUAAAUGGAUUAAGGGCGGUGCGAGAUGUGCUUUGUUAAACAGAUGCUUGAAGGCAGCAUGCUCCUUAAGAGUCAUCACCACUCCCUAAUCUCAAGUACCCAGGGACACAAAAACUGCGGAAGGCUGCAGGGACCUCUGCCUAGGAAAGCCAGGUAUUGUCCAAGGUUUCUCCCCAUGUGAUAGUCUGAAAUAUGGCCUCGUGGGAAGGGAAAGACCUGACCGUCCCCCAGCCUGACACCCGUAAAGGGUCUGUGCUGAGGAGGAUUAGUAUAAGAGGAAGGCAUGCCUCUUGCAGUUGAGACAAGAGGAAGGCAUCUGUCUCCUGCACGUCCCUGGGCAAUGGAAUGUCUCGGUAUAAAACCCGAUUGUAUGUUCAUUCCAUCUACUGAGAUAGGGAAAAACCGCCUUAGGGCUGGAGGUGGGACAUGCGGGCAGCAAUACUGCUUUGUAAAGCAUUGAGAUGUUUAUGUGUAUGCAUAUCUAAAAGCACAGCACUUAAUCCUUUACCUUGUCUAUGAUACAAAGACCUUUGUUCAUGUGUUUGUCUGCUGACCCUCUCCCCACUAUUGUCUUGUGACCCUGACACAUCCCCCUCUCGGAGAAACACCCACGAAUGAUCAAUAAAUACUAAGGGAACUCAGAGGCUGGCGGGAUCCUCCAUAUGCUGAACGCUGGUUCCCCGGGUCCCCUUAUUUCUUUCUCUA